GUUUUGUUUUUGUUUCCCGACGCUCGCAUUCGAAUUGGGGAGGGAUGAACAAACGCACACGGCCACACUUGAAUGUUCAAUGUUGGAGUUAUUGUGUUUGUUGGAUGUAACAGAGCCGUUGGUGUUUUGUUGGAACUGUGCCUCUGCUUGGACAUGGAAACAUCUUAUUGACAACCAUCUGCUCCAGCAACUACUACUGUACUCAUCUCUGCAGUAAGCACUUGUGGAGCAACUCAGGUUUCCGAGGGACCGUAACCGAAGAAAAAGACAGGCCAUAAAUUACCACAGACAGAACUGGAACCAGGUCCUGGCAUAUGAUGCAGCUGUCAGCAGCACCUCUGAUUCAAAAUUUCUGAAGUUUUGCAAGAUGCAGUUAGGGGUGACCAGGUCAAAGUCUUGGGAUUGAUACAUAAUUAACUGUGGUGGGUUGUAUUUUACUAUUUGUGGUGGUUGUCCUAUUGUUCGUCAUCCUAUGAAAUAGAGAGAUCUAGUUUUUGACCCCUAGUUGGGCCUAGAAUUUUUCUUCAUACUUCCCAUACUUACAUUGAACUCUCAGGCUGUACUUUAUU